AGUGAACGCUGGCGGUAGGCCUAACACAUGCAAGUCGAACGGCAGCACAGUAAGAGCUUGCUCUUACGGGUGGCGAGUGGCGGACGGGUGAGGAAUACAUCGGAAUCUACUUUUUCGUGGGGGAUAACGUAGGGAAACUUACGCUAAUACCGCAUACGACCUACGGGUGAAAGCAGGGGAUCUUCGGACCUUGCGCGACUGAAUGAGCCGAUGUCGGAUUAGCUAGUUGGCGGGGUAAAGGCCCACCAAGGCGACGAUCCGUAGCUGGUCUGAGAGGAUGAUCAGCCACACUGGAACUGAGACACGGUCCAGACUCCUACGGGAGGCAGCAGUGGGGAAUAUUGGACAAUGGGCGCAAGCCUGAUCCAGCCAUACCGCGUGGGUGAAGAAGGCCUUCGGGUUGUAAAGCCCUUUUGUUGGGAAAGAAAAGCAGCAGGUUAAUACCCCGCUGUUCUGACGGUACCCAAAGAAUAAGCGCCGGCUAACUUCGUG
rnacentral:rRNA from 1 species